rnacentral:rRNA from 1 species
CAGUAGCCGCGGUAAUACGGAGGGGGCUAGCGUUGUUCGGAAUUACUGGGCGUAAAGCGUACGUAGGCGGCUUUGUAAGUUAGAGGUGAAAGCCUGGAGCUCAACUCCAGAAUUGCCUUUAAGACUGCAUCGCUUGAACGUCGGAGAGGUGAGUGGAAUUCCGAGUGUAGAGGUGAAAUUCGUAGAUAUUCGGAAGAACACCAGUGGCGAAGGCGGCUCACUGGACGACUGUUGACGCUGAGGUACGAAAGCGUGGGGAGCAAACAGGAUUAGAUACCCCCGUAGUCCCUGUCUCUUAUAC